rnacentral:rRNA from 1 species
GUAGGGAAUCUUCCACAAUGGACGAAAGUCUGAUGGAGCAACGCCGCGUGAGUGAAGAAGGUCUUCGGAUCGUAAAACUCUGUUGUUAGAGAAGAACGUGCAUGAUAGUAACUGAUCAUGUAAUGACGGUAUCUAACCAGAAAGCCACGGCUAACUACGUGCCAACAGCCGCGGUAAUACGUAGGUGGCAAGCGUUGUCCGGAUUUAUUGGGCGUAAAGGGAACGCAGGCGGUUUUUUAAGUCUGAUGUGAAAGCCUUCGGCUUAACCGAAGAAUAGCAUUGGAAACUGGAAGACUUGAGUGCAGAAGAGGAGAGUGGAAUUCCAUGUGUAGCGGUGAAAUGCGUAGAUAUCGGGAGGAACACCAGUGGCGAAGGCGGCCUACUGGGCACCAACUGACGCUGAGGCUCGAAAGUAUGGGUAGCAAACAGGAUUAGAUACCCUAGUAGUCC